rfam:Gossypium raimondii chromosome 10, whole genome shotgun sequence.
AACCCAUGGUGAGGGCACCGUCUCAAUAAGUUCUUAUACCUCUCCCAUGCAUCAUAUAACGUUUUUAAAUUGAUCUGCACGAAGGAAGAUAUAUCAUUCCUCAACUU